rnacentral:tRNA from 1 species
GCCUGGGUAGCUCAGUCUGUUAAGCUUCUGACUUCAGCUCAGAUCAUGAUCUCACGGUUUGUGGGUUCAAGCCCCUCAUCGGGCU